AAUAAUUGCUUCCAAGAUGUUUGUUACAGAUACAUAGAGAUUUCAAGUAAUGCCGUUAGCAGUUAACCAGUUCCGUACACGUACAAGCACACAUUCUUUUCUUUGUCACUCUCUUUCAGUAAAUACAUAAUCUAUCAGAUAUUACUAAUAGAUACUGUGGAUGCCAGUAACAAUAUAUUCUAUUUCUCCAAGAGAUAAACGAUGAAUUCCAAAAUCCUCUUCUUCUGUCUGCUUGUUGCAGUCGCACAAGUAUAUUCUAUUGAAUAUAAGGAAAAAUGCUUUGGAAUGUGCUUAGCUUGUUAUCAAGUGAGCUCACGUUAUUGUCCAAUGGAUAUAAGGAGGCCAGAAAGCGUUGAAGGUUGCAUUAAGUUUUGUGAUCCGGAAGCUCGAAACAUCAUCAGUGGUAUAGAAAAAUGCAAGACCGCUGCAAACAAGAUAGACUGCGUCGAUGCAAUAAUACACUAGAAUGGAAAUUCCUGAAAAUAUAGGUUCCUUUGUCAUUCAACAGAGCGUAAGCUACACUUCAGCGAUCAAUAAACCAGAACUUAUAAAGCAAAA
rnacentral:lncRNA from 1 species